ensembl:rRNA 5S_rRNA 5S ribosomal RNA
GUCUACGGCCAUAUCACCCUGAACACACCCUGUGCUGUCCGAUCUCAGAACCUAAGCAGGGUCAAGCUGGGUUAGUAUCUGGAUGAGAGACAUUUGGGGCAAGAAAACCACAGCAGGGAUGCCGUGUGCU